AUGCUUAUCUGGCAGGGGAGAUACCAUGAUCACAAAGGUGGUUUCCCUAGGGUGAGGCUCACCCAUUGCACUCCGGGUGCUGACCCUUGUGAUUUCCCCAAAGGUGGGAAACUCGACUGCAUAAUUUGUGGUAGUGGAGGACUGCGUUCGUGCUCUCCCCUG